UUAAGUUAGAAAGGGCGCACGGUGGAUGCCUUGGCACUAGGAGCCGAAGAAGGACGGGACUAACACCGAUAUGCUUUGGGGAGCUGUACGUAAGCGUUGAUCCAGAGAUUUCCGAAUGGGGGAACCCACUAUCUUUAGUCGGAUAGUAUCCUUACGUGAAUACAUAGCGUGAGGAAGGCAGACCCAGGGAACUGAAACAUCUAAGUACCUGGAGGAAGAGAAAGAAAAAUCGAUUUCCUGAGUAGCGGCGAGCGAAACGGAAAGAGCCCAAACCAAGAAGCUUGCUUCUUGGGGUUGUAGGACACUCUAUACGGAGUUACAAAAGAAAGUUAUAAAUGAAGCGGUCUGGAAAGGCCCGCCAAAGACGGUAACAGCCCGGUAGUUGAAAUAGCUUUCCCUCCAGAGUGGAUCCUGAGUACGGCGGAACACGUGAAAUUCCGUCGGAAUCCGGGAGGACCAUCUCCCAAGGCUAAAUACUCCCUAGUGACCGAUAGUGAACCAGUACCGUGAGGGAAAGGUGAAAAGCACCCCGGAAGGGGAGUGAAACAGUUCCUGAAACCGUGUGCCUACAAGUAGUUAGAGCCCGUUAAUGGGUGAUAGCGUGCCUUUUGUAGAAUGAACCGGCGAGUUACGAUUUGUUGCAAGGUUAAGCGGAAAAAGCGGAGCCGUAGCGAAAGCGAGUCUGAAUAGGGCGCAUAAGUAACAGGUCGUAGACCCGAAACCAGGUGAUCUACCCAUGUCCAGGAUGAAGGUAAGGUAAUACUUACUGGAGGUCCGAACCCACGCACGUUGAAAAGUGCGGGGAUGAGGUGUGGGUAGCGGAGAAAUUCCAAUCGAACUUGGAGAUAGCUGGUUCUCUCCGAAAUAGCUUUAGGGCUAGCCUCGAGGUAAAGAGUCAUGGAGGUAGAGCACUGUUUGGACUAGGGGCCCUUCUCGGGUUACCGAAUUCAGAUAAACUCCGAAUGCCAUGUACUUAUACUCGGGAGUCAGACUGCGAGUGAUAAGAUCCGUAGUCGAAAGGGAAACAGCCCAGACCACCAGUUAAGGUCCCCAAAUAUAUGUUAAGUGGAAAAGGAUGUGGGGUUGCUUAGACAACCAGGAUGUUGGCUUAGAAGCAGCCACCAUUGAAAGAGUGCGUAAUAGCUCACUGGUCGAGUGACCCCGCGCCGAAAAUGUACCGGGGCUAAACAUAUUACCGAAACUGUGGAUGAACCUCUUUAGAGGUUCGUGGUAGGAGAGCGUUCUAAGGGCGGUGAAGUCAGACCGGAAGGACUGGUGGAGCGCUUAGAAGUGAGAAUGCCGGUAUGAGUAGCGAAAGAAGGGUGAGAAUCCCUUCCACCGAAUAUCUAAGGUUUCCUGAGGAAGGCUCGUCCGCUCAGGGUUAGUCGGGACCUAAGCCGAGGCCGAUAGGCGUAGGCGAUGGACAACAGGUAGAGAUUCCUGUACCAGUGCUAAUUGUUUAACCGAUGGGGUGACACAGAAGGAUAGGGAAUCGCACGAAUGGAAAUGUGCGUCCAAGCAGUGAGUGUGAGAAGUAGGCAAAUCCGCUUCUCGCGAAGCAUGAGCUGUGAUGGGGAAGGAAAUUAAGUACGGAAGUUCCUGAUUUCACGCUGUCAAGAAAAGCCUCUAGGAAGAGUAGUACUGCCCGUACCGCAAACCGACACAGGUAGAUGAGGAGAGAAUCCUAAGGUGAGCGAGAGAACUCUCGUUAAGGAACUCGGCAAAAUGACCCCGUAACUUCGGGAGAAGGGGUGCUCUAUUAGGGUGCAAGCCCGAGAGAGCCGCAGUGAAUAGGCCCAGGCGACUGUUUAGCAAAAACACAGGUCUCUGCAAAACCGUAAGGUGACGUAUAGGGGCUGACGCCUGCCCGGUGCUGGAAGGUUAAGAGGAGUGCUUAGCUUCGGCGAAGGUACGAAUUGAAGCCCCAGUAAACGGCGGCCGUAACUAUAACGGUCCUAAGGUAGCGAAAUUCCUUGUCGGGUAAGUUCCGACCCGCACGAAAGGCGCAACGAUCUGGGCACUGUCUCAACGAGAGACUCGGUGAAAUUAUAGUACCUGUGAAGAUGCAGGUUACCCGCGACAGGACGGAAAGACCCCGUGGAGCUUUACUGCAACCUGAUAUGGAAUGUUUGUACCGCUUGUACAGGAUAGGUAGGAGCCGAAGAGACGUGUGCGCUAGCAUACGAGGAGGCAAUGGUGGGAUACUACCCUGGCUGUAUGACCAUUCUAACCCGCCACGCUUAGCGCGUGGGGAGACAGUGUCAGGUGGGCAGUUUGACUGGGGCGGUCGCCUCCUAAAGAGUAACGGAGGCGCCCAAAGGUUCCCUCAGAAUGGAUGGAAAUCAUUCGCAGAGUGUAAAG
rnacentral:rRNA from 1 species